UGAAAAUCUUCACCAGUUUCUAAGAGAUGAAAAAGCAGCAAGAAUAGCUGCCCGGAAGGAUGAGGAGGAGCAGAAGAGUCCCUUCUGAUAACUUGAUGUCCACGUUGAAACAGUGAAGAAUGUUGCAGGAUUCAUGUAUUUCAUGGACCCGCAGCAGGCCAGCCUACAGUUUGUCUGACAGAGUGAGAAGACCAAAGAGUAUUUUAAUACUCUAAUGCUAGACUCAGCAAACAGAUGGUCCAGACUUGCACGAAGAGCCUGAAAAGGUGCAAAACACAGACUUUUUCUGGCCUCCAGCUGACUGUGAUUCUGCACCACCUUCAGCAGUCAGCAGUGGUAGAGAACACGACUGUAAGUAUCAUCAUGGAGCAUGUGUCACUCUUUUGGUAACAUUUUUUUAUCAGUAUUUGAGAUACACUCAUAAAGUAAAUAAAGAGGUUAAUUUCUGUCAUCAUUUUGAUUUUGUCUUUGUUAGUAAACAGGUAAAUAAAACGUUGGAAGUUUGUCCAAUCUUAAAAGGCUUAAUUGGCUUUAGAUAGCUAGCUAACUUGUGGAUUAUUGACAAGAGGAAUAGUAGACAAGAUGAAUAAUGUUAAACUUUUAUAUUUUUAAAUAAAUGAAAUUCAUAUUCAAACUAAAAUUACUGAUCACGCAGUAAAACAAGCCAGUUUCUUAGCUAGCUAGCUACCAUAGCAUGUUUCGACAUGGAAUUAUUCAGACAAAUUUUCCUACAGGUUUGGGUAGCUAGCUAGCUAGCUAGCUAGCUAGAUACGAGCGAUUUGGGCUCCUCCUGCAUGAUCGCAAUGCAAGGCUAUGACAGGUACAUGAACACUACUGUUAUGACUGCUGAUCAUUUUGGCCAGAAUCCAGGCUGCGCAGCUAGAUGGAGAAGUGGGUGGACGACCAGUGUCCCAGAUGCUGCCCAGGUGGAAACUGGUUUGUGGGUCGACACUGCCCUGGAGUUUGCUGUUCUCCAGAAGCUGGUUCUCACCCAGAAGUGGAGGGGUCUGGUGGUGACAGAUUUUGAAGGAAAGGGUAGAGGACUGUUAACCACCAGGACAGUUUGCUCAUGAGAGGUUGUGUACGACUACGGUGUUGUCUAUAGGUCUACUGCUGAUUCAGAAUCUGGGUACACCUUUUUUAAAGAGAAAUGACAGGCAGGGGAAAGAUAUAGAUACCCAUCAGAAGUGCUUACCAUCCAGAUAUGGCUACAUUUGGUGGACAUAUCAGCCUCUCCUCCAAGACAGCCAAUCUGUAGCCUUGAUUAUAUAUUUCAGAUGGGAGUGAUGUAAUUCUGUUUAUGUAAAAAAAAAAUAUUUAUUUUUUUUAUGGACCAAAACAGUUCAGCCCUGCUAUUCCUGAGAGGACACCUGAAGGAGAGGAACAGGACUGCAUAGUGGUUUUCAUAAUCAGGGUGCUCAAGGUCAUUUUGUUACCAAUCUUUAUAGCGCAUCUAUUGUUUUUGUACAUGAAUUUAAUUGUCUCAUGCUUUUUCCAUACACUACUUUCCUGUAAUUUGUGGAAUAGACCAUUGGGCUAAACUGUCUCUAAAGAUUUUUUGAAGUCUAUGAAACAUGCAGAUAUUUAGUUUUUUAUCUGGUUAACAUGUUGGUUGGGCUAUAAAUAUGAUCUGAUGUGUGGUGAUUUGGUAUAAAUCCAAUCUGACUUUUACUCGACACUGUGCUUCAUAAGGAAGUCUAUAAAUCUAGAAUUAAUAAUACUGCAGAUCACUUUCCUCAGAUUACUGUCCACACAGAUGCCCUGGUAAUUAUUGGGGUCAAAUUUAUUUCCACGUUUUAAAAUGUUACAAGACUUUCAGGAAGUCUUUUAUUGCAAUCUUAUAUAUUCAAUUUUGCAGUUAUAUGCUUUUGUUCAGGUAUUGAGAUGGUGGGUAAUUGAUUAUUGAGCGAUUUUAAAAAGUUCCAAGUUUUGAAUAGACGAUUCUGCUCAUAUAGGUUUAGAUUUAGAUUCUGAGCGUAGUGUGUUUCACAGUACUGAAGACAUAAAUCUGCAUUAUUUGGGUUUUGUGAUUUUGAGUUGAUUUUCUCAUUUCCUUCCUAAUUUUUUUGACAUUCUGUUAAACCAGUUUAUUAUUAUUUAACAUUUGGGUGGUUGUAAAUAUAUGAUUUGUGUUCUUGACUGCAAGAUUGAAUCCUUCAUAACUAUAAGUGUGGUCUCCAGAAAGGUGUCUAAAAUUGUUUUAAUUUCUUAAGUGCUGACUACUUUCUGGAACACGUCGGUGCUAUUUUGGGCCCAUCUUUAUGACCAUCUGAUGUUGUUCAGCCUACUUGGCUGUGUGGAUGCUUUUAGUCUCUGUUCUUUUAAUUAAAAGAGUCAUUUGGCUUUGACCAGACAGAAGGCUGAAUGCUAUUAAAGUGAAUGCACUGAGGCUUUUGCUGUGCUUGGUUUCUACAUAUACCUGGUUGUUUCUGUGGGCACAGGGAAAGUCAUUUUUUGUUUUUUUGAAAUCAGGCAGUAUUCCAGUUCUGGCAUUAAGGUUCCUGCUGGUGAGCACAUUUCCUUGAGCAUUGGAGUAUUUUAUUUUCCAACUCUGGAACCAUCUCUUCAGAGUACUGUGGGGACUGUCAGAGAAAUGUAUAUAACACAAAGAAAUCUUUGUCUGGGAAAGCUACUGUCUUUUUUUUUAUUUUUAGCCAAAUGUUUUCCAAUUUUUAGUGCAUCUGUAUAGUUUUGAUUUAUGUCAUAUUCCUCCCAAGGGGCGGCCCUGGUGUACUAUUCUUAGUUUUGGGGAAGGAAUGAUAAUCUCCCAGGCAGAAACACAACUCUCAAUCAUUUCACUGCGAGUUAUACUGUGUAUGACUAUGUAUGUGACAAAUAAACCGAACUUGAACUCCCUGUA